GUAGGACACUCUAUACGGAGUUACAAAGGACGACAUUAGACGAAUCAUCUGGAAAGAUGAAUCAAAGAAGGUAAUAAUCCUGUAGUCGAAAAUGUUGUCUCUCUUGAGUGGAUCCUGAGUACGACGGAGCACGUGAAAUUCCGUCGGAAUCUGGGAGGACCAUCUCCUAAGGCUAAAUACUCUCUAGUGACCGAUAGUGAACCAGUACCGUGAGGGAAAGGUGAAAAGCACCCCGGAAGGGGAGUGAAAUAGAACCUGAAACCGUGUGCUUACAAGUAGUCAGAGCCCGUUAAUGGGUGAUGGCGUGCCUUUUGUAGAAUGAACCGGCGAGUUACGAUUUGAUGCAAGGUUAAGCAGUAAAUGUGGAGCCGUAGCGAAAGCGAGUCUGAAUAGGGCGUUUAGUAUUUGGUCGUAGACCCGAAACCAGGUGAUCUACCCUUGGUCAGGUUGAAGUUCAGGUAACACUGAAUGGAGGACCGAACCGACUUACGUUGAAAAGUGAGCGGAUGAACUGAGGGUAGCGGAGAAAUUCCAAUCGAACCUGGAGAUAGCUGGUUCUCUCCGAAAUAGCUUUAGGGCUAGCCUCAAGUGAUGAUUAUUGGAGGUAGAGCACUGUUUGGACGAGGGGCCCCUCUCGGGUUACCGAAUUCAGACAAACUCCGAAUGCCAAUUAAUUUAACUUGGGAGUCAGAACAUGGGUGAUAAGGUCCGUGUUCGAAAGGGAAACAGCCCAGACCACCAGCUAAGGUCCCAAAAUAUAUGUUAAGUGGAAAAGGAUGUGGCGUUGCCCAGACAACUAGGAUGUUGGCUUAGAAGCAGCCAUCAUUUAAAGAGUGCGUAAUAGCUCACUAGUCGAGUGACACUGCGCCGAAAAUGUACCGGGGCUAAACAUAUUACCGAAGCUGUGGAUUGUCCUUUGGACAAUGGUAGGAGAGCGUUCUAAGGGCGUUGAAGCAUGAUCGUAAGGACAUGUGGAGCGCUUAGAAGUGAGAAUGCCGGUGUGAGUAGCGAAAGACGGGUGAGAAUCCCGUCCACCGAUUGACUAAGGUUUCCAGAGGAAGGCUCGUCCGCUCUGGGUUAGUCGGGUCCUAAGCUGAGGCCGACAGGCGUAGGCGAUGGAUAACAGGUUGAUAUUCCUGUACCACCUAUAAUCGUUUUAAUCGAUGGGGGGACGCAGUAGGAUAGGCGAAGCGUGCGAUUGGAUUGCACGUCUAAGCAGUAAGGCUGAGUAUUAGGCAAAUCCGGUACUCGUUAAGGCUGAGCUGUGAUGGGGAGAAGACAUUGUGUCUUCGAGUCGUUGAUUUCACACUGCCGAGAAAAGCCUCUAGAUAGAAAAUAGGUGCCCGUACCGCAAACCGACACAGGUAGUCAAGAUGAGAAUUCUAAGGUGAGCGAGCGAACUCUCGUUAAGGAACUCGGCAAAAUGACCCCGUAACUUCGGGAGAAGGGGUGCUCUUUAGGGUUAACGCCCAGAAGAGCCGCAGUGAAUAGGCCCAAGCGACUGUUUAUCAAAAACACAGGUCUCUGCUAAACCGUAAGGUGAUGUAUAGGGGCUGACGCCUGCCCGGUGCUGGAAGGUUAAGAGGAGUGGUUAGCUUCUGCGAAGCUACGAAUCGAAGCCCCAGUAAACGGCGGCCGUAACUAUAACGGUCCUAAGGUAGCGAAAUUCCUUGUCGGGUAAGUUCCGACCCGCACGAAAGGCGUAACGAUUUGGGCACUGUCUCAACGAGAGACUCGGUGAAAUCAUAGUACCUGUGAAGAUGCAGGUUACCCGCGACAGGACGGAAAGACCCCGUGGAGCUUUACUGUAGCCUGAUAUUGAAAUUCGGCACAGCUUGUACAGGAUAGGUAGGAGCCUUUGAAACGUGAGCGCUAGCUUACGUGGAGGCGCUGGUGGGAUACUACCCUAGCUGUGUUGGCUUUCUAACCCGCACCACUUAUCGUGGUGGGAGACAGUGUCAGGCGGGCAGUUUGACUGGGGCGGUCGCCUCCUAAAAGGUAACGGAGGCGCUCAAAGGUUCCCUCAGAAUGGUUGGAAAUCAUUCAUAGAGUGUAAAGGCAUAAGGGAGCUUGACUGCGAGACCUACAAGUCGAGCAGGGUCGAAAGACGGACUUAGUGAUCCGGUGGUUCCGCAUGGAAGGGCCAUCGCUCAACGGAUAAAAGCUACCCCGGGGAUAACAGGCUUAUCUCCCCCAAGAGUUCACAUCGACGGGGAGGUUUGGCACCUCGAUGUCGGCUCAUCGCAUCCUGGGGCUGUAGUCGGUCCCAAGGGUUGGGCUGUUCGCCCAUUAAAGCGGUACGCGAGCUGGGUUCAGAACGUCGUGAGACAGUUCGGUCCCUAUCCGUCGUGGGCGUAGGAAAUUUGAGAGGAGCUGUCCUUAGUACGAGAGGACCGGGAUGGACAUACCUCUGGUGUACCAGUUGUCGU
rnacentral:rRNA from 1 species